GGCGCACUCGACGGCUGACUGGAGCAGCGGUAAAGGCGAGGAUGGAGACCGAAGGAUAUAAGUCAAAGAGUACAGCAGAAAAUGUCUACUGAACGGACUUCUUGGACAAGCCUGUCCACCAUUCAGAAAAUAGCCCUGGGCCUUGGGAUCCCAGCCAGUGCAACAGUUGCCUAUAUCCUAUACCGCAGGUAUAGGGAAAGCAGAGUUGUUAGUAGAAGGCACUUACCUCAAAGGCUGGAUCUAGAGAAUAGGACCUAGAGAAAUGACUUAUGUACCUAUCAGUCAGGAGAAGUUCUGAGCCUAAUGGACCCCUCAGAAGAGCGGCUGACAUUUGUUGGGGAAGAUGACAUUGAGAUAGAGAUGCGGGUUCCCCAGGAGGCUGUGAAACUCAUCAUUGGCCGGCAAGGAGCCAAUAUUAAACAGCUGCGGAAACAGACAGGUGCUCGGAUUGAUGUGGACACAGAGGAUGUAGGCGAU
rnacentral:lncRNA from 1 species